rnacentral:rRNA from 1 species
AGAACGAACGCUGGCGGCAUGCCUAAUACAUGCAAGUCGAACGAACACUUCGGUGUUAGUGGCGCACGGGUGCGUAACGCGUGGGAAUCUGCCCUUGGGUUCGAAUAACAGUUGGAAACGACUGCUAAUACCGGAUGAUAUCGAAAGAUACAAAGAUUUAUCGCCCAGGGAUGAGCCCGCGUAGGAUUAGCUAGUUGGUGAGGUAAGCUCACCAAGGCGACGAUCCUUAGCUGGUCUGAGAGGAUGAUCAGCCACACUGGGACUGAGACACGGCCCAGACCUCCGUACGGGAGGCAGCAGGUAGGGAAUAGUGGACAAGUGGGCGCAAGGCCUGAUCCAGCAAUGCCGCGUGAGUGAGUGAAGGUCCGUUAGGGUUAGUAAGUCGUUACGUUUUUACCGAGUA